rnacentral:rRNA from 1 species
GAGUGAAGCGGGAAAAGCUCAAAUUUAAAAUCUGGUAGUCUUUGACUGCCCGAGUUGUAAUCUAGAGAAGUGUUAUCCGUGCUGGACCAUGUACAAGUCUCCUGGAAUGGAGCGUCAUAGAGGGUGAGAAUCCCGUCUUUGACAUGGACUGCCAGGACUUUGUGAUGCGCUCUCAAAGAGUCGAGUUGUUUGGGAAUGCAGCUCUAAAUGGGUGGUAAAUUCCAUCUAAAGCUAAAUAUUGGCGAGAGACCGAUAGCGAACAAGUACCGUGAGGGAAAGAUGAAAAGAACUUUGGAAAGAGAGUUAAACAGUACCGUGAAAUUGUUGAAAGGGAAACGCUUGAMGUCAGUCACGUUGGCCAAUCAACCUUGCUUUCUGCUUGGUGUACUUUCUGGUUAGAAUA